rnacentral:rRNA from 1 species
GGCGGCGUGCUUAACACAUGCAAGUCGAGCGGAAAGGCCCUUCGGGGGUACUCGAGCGGCGAACGGGUGAGUAACACGUGAGCAACCUGCCCCUGACUCUGGGAUAAGCCCGGGAAACUGGGUCUAAUACCGGAUAUGACCACCUCUGGCAUCGGACGGUGGUGGAAAGUUUUUUCGGUUGGGGAUGGGCUCGCGGCCUAUCAGCUUGUUGGUGGGGUAGUGGCCUACCAAGGCGACGACGGGUAGCCGGCCUGAGAGGGCGACCGGCCACACUGGGACUGAGACACGGCCCAGACUCCUACGGGAGGCAGCAGUGGGGAAUAUUGCGCAAUGGGCGGAAGCCUGAGCCAGCGACGCCGCGUGGGGGAUGACGGCCUUCGGGUUGUAAACCUCUUUCAGCAGGGACGAAGUUGACGUGUACCUGCAGAAGAAGCGCCGGCUAACUACGUGCCAGCAGCCGCGGUAAUACGUAGGGCGCAAGCGUUGUCCGGAAUUAUUGGGCGUAAAGAGCUCGUAGGUGGCUGGUCGCGUCUGCCGUGAAAGCCGCAGCUUAACUGCGGGUCUGCGGUGGAUACGGGCCGGCUAGAGGUAGGUAGGGGCAAGUGGAAUUCCUGGUGUAGCGGUGAAAUGCGCAGAUAUCAGGAGGAACACCGGUGGCGAAGGCGGCUUGCUGGGCCUUACCUGACGCUGAGGAGCGAAAGCGUGGGGAGCGAACAGGAUUAGAUACCCUGGUAGUCCACGCUGUAAACGUUGGGCGCUAGGUGUGGGGGUCUUCCACGAUUCCGUGCCGGACGUAACGCAUUAAGCGCCCCGCCUGGGGAGUACGGCCGC